AUAGGACUCACUGGGGAACUUGUUAAAAUGCAGAUUCUGAUUGGUUGGACAAGGGUCUGGCACAAAAUUCUGUGUUUUUAAGAAACUCCCAGGCGUUGCUGCA
rnacentral:miRNA from 1 species